CGAUCCCCCGCAUCUCCACC
rnacentral:siRNA from 1 species